AGGAGAGAAGCGGGAGCUCGCGCCGGUUCUCAAACGCUGCACGCUCGAAAUUCCUCCAAGGAACCUCUGCGAGCUUUUUCUUUUUUCAUCACGCGCGAGCUAAAAAUAGAAACGGGGUUGGAUCGUGAUCCAGAAAUAGAUAGGGGGCAUCUCUCCUAUAAAAGGCUCACCAUUCAAGAGUACAGUGAGCAGUAUGAAGAGGCGAAAAGCCAGAGCGCAUUUUAUGGAGAAACUGGCUUUUUUUUUUUUUUUUGGAGUCCCUUUUUUUGUGGCACUUUUCGUGUUUUUUUUUUUUUUUUUUUUUUUUGAAGGAGGCUCCGCGCUGCUACAAUGGUUCUCUUCAGCAACACACACACACUUCCCUGCUGUCGUGACCAACCCACAGUGAGGUCAGCGGGUGGAGUCCACAGAGCGAGAGUGGAAAAACUGUAGAAGGGAAGUAAACAAUCAUUUAUAAUCAUGUUGAUUAACUGUUUCCAUGUGUCUGCAUUAUGUAUACACCCUGUGUGUCACCCUAACCUUUAACUGAAGAAGUAAUAUCAAUUACACUAAAAGCAGGAGAUUGAGGCAAUCUUUUUUCUGUUUUCUGUUUAGUGACAUGUGACGACGUUGUCAACAAUUACUUUCAGUUGAGAAUCAGAGUCAAAGGAAUUCAGAUUAAUGAUUCAUGUAUGUCUAAAUUUACAAAAAUGAAGCUGAAUGUGUGUCAUUUUAAUUUUAAAGGUGAAUAAACAUGUCUUAUUUUAAACUUAUCUAUUCCUAUAUUUUACAUUAAUCAGUUUUUUUUUUUAUCCGUUACCAUGCUUUCUGUUCUAUGUGUAAAUAAAAACACUUUUUUUAAAAACACAGCUUUUAAUGUGCUGCACCCUGUAGAAAUACAGGCAAACACUCUUUCCUUGUUAUAUUUCUUUUACUUCUUCCUUUACUUUUUCUGAUCUGAAAUCAGCAUCACUGUUGAGUCCUUGUAGACUUAACAUUAGAAGCAGGACAGAGAGGGAGCGGUGUGUGUAUACGUCUAUACGUGUGUGUGUGUGUGUGUGUGUGUGUGUGUGUGUGUGUGUGUGUGUGUGUGUGUGUGUGUGUGUGUAUACGUCAAUACGUGUGUAUACAUUUAUCAGAUUUACAUUAGCAUGCAGUAUGACGUUUCAUCUAUCCAGAUUUUACAGACACGUAUUUGUGGCUAUGUUUUUUAUUACAGAAGGAGUUGAGCUAUUACACACACACACACACACACACACACACACACACACACAUACAGAGACAGAAAUAGCAAUACAUUCUAAAGAAACAACUGUCUGGAACAAGCAUUGUAUAUAAUCAUUUCAAUAAAAUGAUGGGGUAAAAAAGGAGACAUAAAUGUGCAAAUGUCACCAAGCACAUACAAGCCACAUCAUUAUGUUCAACUUCUAAAUCUGUGUUAGGCAGAAAUUAAAUAAGAAACAAUUCAUAAAUGAAUAAACCCCAUGAUCCUGAAGUAUCUAAACAUUUGGCACUACUUAACUAAUGAUCUACAACUACUUCCUCUGAUGGCCCACAGCUCUGAGAAAUUAACUGUGUGGAAAAGAAAAACAAUAAAAAAUACACAUUUACUUUAUUGACGUCUCCUCGUGGGAUCUCCUUUAAAAAUGCAAUAAAGCUCAGCUCACAAUUCACCCCUCAGUAACUGAUUGUUGCCUCAGAUCAACAACAGCUAAUGAAGACAGACAAGACACACAGCAGUUAUAUGUGUGAAGUCAAUGUGCAUCCAUUUUUCAGAAGGAGUGUGUGUGUGUGUGUGUGUGUGUUGCAUUUUGCUUUACACCUUUAUUUCCUCUAUUGCAGAAAGAUUUGUUCUAUCCAAAAAAAAAUGUCAAUACAUUUUGGCUGGAUUUUAUUUUGGAGCUCAUGUGUGUUUUAUGUUCAGUGUCUUGAUGAUUUAGAAGAUACACUUGAUCAUAUACAAAAAAGGAAUUUCUUCUAUAUAUUAAAAAUGUCUUUACAAAUGACUGUUAAGUGCUCUCAUUGUGUUUUUGUUUUAAAAGGUACUGUGAUACUUUAAACUGUCUUUACAGGAAUGUUUCAAUAAAAGCAUUUUGAAAUCUUC